rnacentral:rRNA from 1 species
AUUGAACGCUGGCGGCAUGCCUUACACAUGCAAGUCGAACGGUAACAGGUCUUCGGAUGCUGACGAGUGGCGAACGGGUGAGUAAUACAUCGGAACGUGCCCGAGAGUGGGGGAUAACGAAGCGAAAGCUUUGCUAAUACCGCAUACGAUCUCAGGAUGAAAGCAGGGGACCGCAAGGCCUUGCGCUCACGGAGCGGCCGAUGGCAGAUUAGGUAGUUGGUGGGAGAAAAGCUUACCAAGCCGACGAUCUGUAGCUGGUCUGAGAGGACGACCAGCCCCACUGGGACUGAGACACGGCCCAGACUCCUACGAGAGGCAGCAGUGGGGAAUUUUGGACAAUGGGCGCAAGCCUGAUCCAGCCAUGCCGCGUGCAGGAUGAAGGCCUUCGGGUUGUAAACUGCUUUUGUACGGAACGAAAAGACUCCUUCUAAUAAAGGGGGUCCAUGACGGUACCGUAAGAAUAAGCACCGGCUAACUACGUGCCAGCCGCCGCGGUAAAAC